AUUGAACGCUGGCGGCAGGCCUAACACAUGCAAGUCGAGCGAGCGGCGGACGGGUGAGUAAUGUAUGGGGAUCUGCCCGAUGGAGGGGGCUAACUACUGGAAACGGUAGCUAAUACCGCAUACUAUCAGAUGAACCCAUAUGGGAUUAGCUUGUAGGUGGGGUAACGGCUCACCUAGGCGACGAUCCCUAGCUGGUCUGAGAGGAUGAUCAGCCACACUGGAACUGAGACACGGUCCAGACGCCUACGGGAGGCAGCAGUGGGGAAUAUUGCACAAUGGGCGCAAGCCUGAUGAAGCCAUGCCGCGUGUAUGAAGAAGGCCUUCGGGUUGUAAAGUACUUUCAGCGGGGAGGCGUUACCCGCAGAAGAAGAACCGGCUAACUCCGUGCCAGCAGCCGCGGUAAUAC
rnacentral:rRNA from 1 species